rnacentral:rRNA from 1 species
GGGUUGUGAGGUUAAGCGACUAAGCGUACACGGUGGAUGCCCUGGCAGUCAGAGGCGAUGAAGGACGUGCUAAUCUGCGAUAAGCGUCGGUAAGGUGAUAUGAACCGUUAUAACCGGCGAUUUCCGAAUGGGGAAACCCAGUGUGUUUCGACACACUAUCAUUAACUGAAUCCAUAGGUUAAUGAGGCGAACCGGGGGAACUGAAACAUCUAAGUACCCCGAGGAAAAGAAAUCAACCGAGAUUCCCCCAGUAGCGGCGAGCGAACGGGGAGCAGCCCAGAGCCUGAAUCAGUGUGUGUGUUAGUGGAAGCGUCUGGAAAGGCGCGCGAUACAGGGUGACAGCCCCGUACACAAAAAUGCACAUGCUGUGAGCUCGAUGAGUAGGGCGGGACACGUGGUAUCCUGUCUGAAUAUGGGGGGACCAUCCUCCAAGGCUAAAUACUCCUGACUGACCGAUAGUGAACCAGUACCGUGAGGGAAAGGCGAAAAGAACCCCGGCGAGGGGAGUGAAAAAGAACCUGAAACCGUGUACGUACAAGCAGUGGGAGCACAGAGCAAUCUGUGUGACUGCGUACCUUUUGUAUAAUGGGUCAGCGACUUAUAUUCUGUAGCAAGGUUAACCGAAUAGGGGAGCCGAAGGGAAACCGAGUCUUAACUGGGCGUUAAGUUGCAGGGUAUAGACCCGAAA